AAAGGAAAAGUAUGUCAUAAGCUAUUAGCAAAUCAAAUUCAAAUUUACCUAAAUCACAAACUGUCAAUUAAAGAUUGCUCAGUUGCUCUCAGGAAAGACUCAGUAAGGGGCUCUAACUUAACAGCUCUUUGGGGUUUCAUUUACAUGCACUAAUGAAGUUCAGCAAAUAGCAACAACAGGCAUGAACAUUUCAUUACAAUAGAAUUCAUGGCAUUUGUUUUUUCUUACAUUUUGAAAGUGCUAAGUCAUAAGAAGAACCUUAGCUUUUAGUAUGAUUUAAAACCCUCUCAAUUACACUGAACAUUUUUCUAUUUCAGAAAAUACCAAAAACAGCUGAAUUUCGUUUUCAAGUUUACGGAAAAGUCCGACUGAUAACUUGUUUUAAGAGCAAUCUGAAAGCCAGGUAACACCGAUGACACAACCAUGGAGGCCACACCCAUGGUGCCGAAGUGCUGGAAGCACACAUCUGCCUCCACAAGCACCAAAAAAGGCCCGCAAAUCACAGGUACUUGCAGUUAAAAAACGAUGAAUUCCAGGAAGAAUCCCUCAAUCUUAUACUCCACUCUGUGCUGAGUGGUGAGACCCAGCUGCUCCCUGUCCUCUGACCCAUCCCUUCAUCCAGGACAAACAUGCUGCACAUGGCCUACUCAGCAGUCACCUAGUAGCAGCCCUGGUUGUCAAACUAUUACAGCAAGAGUGUCUGUGUUUGAACCCCUUAUUUCACAAAAUAAGGGCCUAAGAAAACAACAGCGAGGAUGCUAGCAAUUCCAACAUGCCAGAGAAGCUGCAACAUGCUGAAGUGAAAAGGUCUAAGUUCUCAACCUAAUGACCAAAGAAAAAAGCUGCACACCAAAGCUGCUAACAUCUAUACUAAGAACAAAACUUCUAAUGAAAUUCUGAAGCAAGAAAUUCAUGGUAGUUUCACUGCUGCACCUGAAAUCGGAAAA